rnacentral:rRNA from 1 species
CAGUAGCCGCGGUAAUACGAAGGGGGCUAGCGUUGCUCGGAAUCACUGGGCGUAAAGGGUGCGUAGGCGGGUCUUUAAGUCAGGGGUGAAAUCCUGGAGCUCAACUCCAGAACUGCCUUUGAUACUGAAGAUCUUGAGUUCGGGAGAGGUGAGUGGAACUGCGAGUGUAGAGGCGAAAUUCGUAGAUAUUCGCAAGAACACCAGUGGCGAAGGCGGCUCACUGGCCCGAUACUGACGCUGAGGCACGAAAGCGUGGGGAGCAAACAGGAUUAGAUACCCCCGUAGUCCCUGUCUCUUAUAC